GCGUGCUGGAAGUCUCAUUCUUCUGUGUUCUAAGGAGAAUGCAUGUUCCUUCAGCGCUAUAAAAUAAGGAGAUUUCAGGGCCACCAGCCUUGGAGUAAAGGCUGAAUGGUAGUAUAUUUCUCCUACAUUA